GUGCUCACUUCAGUAGCACAUGUACUAAAAUCGAAACAAUACAGAGAAGAUUAGCAAGACACAAAUGAAAUCAGAUGUAAGACUUGCCAUGUAAAU
rnacentral:snRNA from 1 species